UGAGGAAUUUUGCGCAAUGGGAGCAAUCCUGACGCAGCAACGCCGCGUGGGUGAUGAAGGCCUUCGGGUCGUAAAGCCCUGUCAGGUGGGAAGAAUGUCCCGGGACUGAACAGGUUCCGGGAGUGACGGUACCACCUGAGGAAGCACCGGCUAACUCCGUGCCAGCAGCCGCGGUAAUACGGAGGGUGCAAGCGUUAUUCGGAAUUACUGGGCGUAAAGCGCGUGUAGGCGGUCCUGCAAGUCUGAUGUGAAAGCCCCGGGCUUAACCCGGGAAGUGCAUUGGAAACUGGGGGGCUUGAGUACUGGAGAGGAGGGGGGAAUUCCGGGUGGAGAGGUGAAAUUCGUAGAGAUCGGGAGGAAUAUCAGUGGCGAAGGCGCCCAUCUGGACGGAAACUGACGCGGAGACGCGAAAGCGUGGGGAGCAAACA
rnacentral:rRNA from 1 species